UACGUAGGGCGCGAGCGUUGUCCGGAAUUAUUGGGCGUAAAGAGCUCGUAGGCGGCUUGUUGCGUCUGCUGUGAAAUCCCGGGGCUUAACCCCGGGCGUGCAGUGGAUACGGGCAGGCUGGAGGCAGGCAGGGGAGAAUGGAAUUCCCGGUGUAGUGGUGAAAUGCGUAGAGAUCGGGAGGAACACCUGUGGCGAAGGCGGCCGGCUGGGGGUACCCUGACGCUGAGGCGCGACAGCGUGGGGGAGCGAACCGG
rnacentral:rRNA from 1 species